AGAGUUUGAUUAUGGCUCAGGAUGAACGCUGGCGGCGUGCUUAACACAUGCAAGUCGAACGAAGCAAUUUAACGGAAGUUUUCGGAUGGAAGCUAGAUUGACUGAGUGGCGGACGGGUGAGUAACGCGUGGGUAACCUGCCUCACACUGGGGGACAACAGUUAGAAAUGACUGCUAAUGCCGCAUAAGCGCACAGGAUCGCAUGGUCUAGUGUGAAAAACUCUGGUGGUGUGAGAUGGACCCGCGUUUGAUUAGCUAGUUGGUGGGGUAACGGCCUACCAAGGCGACGAUCAAUGGCCGACCUGAGAGGGUGACCGGCCACAUUGGGACUGAGACACGGCCCAA
rnacentral:rRNA from 1 species